CGGGACGGGUGAGUAAUGCUUGGGAAUCUAGCUUAUGGAGGGGGAUAACUACGGGAAACUGUAGCUAAUACCGCGUAAUAUCGAAAGAUGAAAGUGCGGGACCUUCGGGCCACAUGCCAUAGGAUGAGCCCAAGUGGGAUUAGGUAGUUGGUGAGGUAAAGGCUCACCAAGCCGACGAUCUCUAGCUGGUCUGAGAGGAUGAACGGCCACACUGGAACUGAGACACGGUCCAG
rnacentral:rRNA from 1 species